GAUUGAUGGUGCUUGCACCUGAUUGACGAUGGAUCACCAGUGAGUGGCGGACGGGUGAGUAACACGUAGGUAACCUGCCCCGGAGCGGGGGAUAACAUUUGGAAACAGAUGCUAAUACCGCAUAACAACAAAAGCUGCAUGGCUUUUGUUUGAAAGAUGGCUUUGGCUAUCACUCUGGGAUGGACCUGCGGUGCAUUAGCUAGUUGGUAAGGUAACGGCUUACCAAGGCGAUGAUGCACAGCCGAGUUGAGAGACUGAUCGGCCACAAUGGAACUGAGACACGGUCCAUACUCCUACGGGAGGCAGCAGUAGGGAAUCUUCCACAAUGGGCGCAAGCCUGAUGGAGCAACACCGCGUGAGUGAAGAAGGGUUUCGGCUCGUAAAGCUCUGUUGUUGGAGAAGAACGUGCGUGAGAGUAACUGUUCACGCAGUGACGGUAUCCAACCAGAAAGUCACGGCUAACUACGUGCCAGCAGCCGCGGUAAUACGUAGGUGGCAAGCGUUAUCCGGAUUUAUUGGGCGUAAAGCGAGCGCAGGCGGUUGCUUAGGUCUGAUGUGAAAGCCUUCGGCUUAACCGAAGAAGUGCAUCGGAAACCGGGCGACUUGAGUGCAGAAGAGGACAGUGGAACUCCAUGUGUAGCGGUGGAAUGCGUAGAUAUAUGGAAGAACACCAGUGGCGAAGGCGGCUGUCUGGUCUGCAACUGACGCUGAGGCUCGAAAGCAUGGGUAGCGAACAGGAUUAGAUACCCUGGUAGUCCAUGCCGUAAAC
rnacentral:rRNA from 1 species